rnacentral:rRNA from 1 species
AGAGUUUGAUCAUGGCUCAGGAUGAACGCUGGCGGUAUGCUUAACACAUGCAAGUCGAACGGAGUACUUCGGUACUUAGUGGCGGACGGGUGAGUAACGCGUGAGAAUCUGCCUUCAGGUUCGGGACAACCACUGGAAACGGUGGCUAAUACCGAAUGUGCAGCAAUGUGAAAAAUUUAUUGCCUGAAGAUGAGCUCGCGUCUGAUUAGCUAGUAGGUGUGGUAAGAGCGCACCUAGGCGACGAUCAGUAGCUGGUCUGAGAGGAUGAUCAGCCACACUGGGACUGAGACACGGCCCAGACUCCUACGGGAGGCAGCAGUGGGGAAUUUUCCGCAAUGGGCGAAAGCCUGACGGAGCAAGACCGCGUGAGGGAGGAAGGCUCUUGGGUUGUAAACCUCUUUUGUCAGGGAAGAACACAAUGACGGUACCUGAAGAAUCAGCAUCGGCUAACUCCAUGCCAGCAGCCGCGGUAAUACGGGGGAUGCAAGCGUUAUCCGGAAUUAUUGGGCGUAAAGCGUCCGCAGGUGGCUAAUCAAGUCUGCUGUCAAAGGUUGGGGCUUAACCCCAAAAAGGCAGUGGAAACUGAGAAGCUAGAGUGCAGUAGGGGUAGAGGGAAUUCCCGGUGUAGCGGUGAAAUGCGUAGAGAUCGGGAAGAACAUCGGUGGCGAAAGCGCUCUACUGGACUGCAACUGACACUCAGGGACGAAAGCUAGGGGAGCGAAUGGGAUUAGAUACCCCCGUAGUCC